AAUAGAUACCCAGGUAGUCCACGCCGUAAACGAUGGAUACUAGCUGUUGGGGGCGACCUCAGUGGCUAAGCGAAAGUGAUAAGUAUCCCACCUGGGGAGUACGUUCGCAAGAAUGAAACUCAAAGGAAUUGACGGGGGCCCGCACAAGCGGUGGAGCAUGUGGUUUAAUUCGAUGAUACGCGAGGAACCUUACCAAGGCUUAAAUGCAGACUGACCGUUUUGGAAACAGAACUUUCGCAAGACAGUCUACAAGGUGCUGCAUGGUUGUCGUCAGCUCGUGCCGUGAGGUGUCAGGUUAAGUCCUAUAACGAGCGCAACCCCUGUUGUUAGUUGCCAGCGAGUAGUGUCGGGAACUCUAACAAGACUGCCAGUGCAAACUGUGAGGAAGGUGGGGAUGACGUCAAAUCAUCACGGCCCUUACGCCUUGGGCUACACACGUGCUACAAUGGCCGGUACAGAGAGCAGCCACCUCGCGAGGGGGANCGAAUCUACAAAGCCGGUCACAGUUCGGAUCGGAGUCUGC
rnacentral:rRNA from 1 species